rnacentral:tRNA from 1 species
UUUAUAUAGUUUAACACAAAACACUAGGCUGUGAUUCUAGUAUAAGAGACAUUCUCUUAUGAACC